AUUGAACGCUGGCGGCAGGCCUAACACAUGCAAGUCGAGCGGAGCGGGGGACGGGUGAGUGAGGCCUAUGAAUCUGCCUGGCAGUGGGGGAUAACGUCCGGAAACGGGCGCUAAUACCGCACACUCUCAGUUGAGCCUAGGUCGGAUUAGCUAGUUGGUGGGGUAAAGGCCUACCAAGGCGACGAUCCGUAGCUGGUCUGAGAGGAUGAUCAGUCACACUGGAACUGAGACACGGUCCAGACUCCUACGGGAGGCAGCAGUGGGGAAUAUUGGACAAUGGGCGCAAGCCUGAUGCAGCCAUGCCGCGUGUGUGAAGAAGGUCUUCGGGUUGUAAAGCACUUUAAGUUGGGAGGCGUUACCCACAGAAGAAGCACCGGCUAACUCCGUGCCAGCAGCCGCGGUAAUAC
rnacentral:rRNA from 1 species